GUUCGCUUCGGCAGCACAUAUACUAAAAUUGGAACAAUACAGAGGAGAUUAGCUUGGCCCCUGCACAAGGAUGACAUGCAAAUUUGUGAAGCGUUCCAUAUACUA